rnacentral:rRNA from 1 species
AGGACUAACGCUGGCGGCGUGCCUAACACAUGCAAGUCGAACGAGGGGUAGCAAUACCCCUAGUGGCAGACGGGUGAGUAACACGUAGUCAACCUACCUCUUAAUAGGGGAUAACUAGCCGAAAGGUUAGCUAAUACCGCAUACGAUCGUCGAGUGGCAUCACACGACGAUGAAAGGAGCAAUCCGUUGAGAGAGGGGACUGCGUCCCAUUAGUUAGUUGGUGGGGUAAUGGCCUACCAAGACUCCGAUGGGUAGCUGGCUUGAGAGAGCGACCAGCCACACUGGAACUGAGACACGGUCCAGACUCCUACGGGAGGCAGCAGUGAGGAAUUUUCCGCAAUGGGGGAAACCCUGACGGAGCGACGCCGCGUGUGGGAAGAAGGCCUUCGGGUCGUAACCACUGUCGAGGGGGACGAUAUUGACGGUACCCCUGGAGGAGCCCGGCUAACUACGCGCCAGCAGCCGC